UACGGGGGGGGCAAGCGUUGUUCGGAAUUACUGGGCGUAAAGGGCUCGUAGGUGGCCAACUACGUCAUACGUGAAAUCCCUCGGCUUAACCGGGGAACUGCGUCUGAUACUGGAUGGCUUGAGUUUGGGAGAGGGACGCGGAAUUCCAGGUGUAGCGGUGAAAUGCGUAGAUAUCUGGAGGAACACCGGUGGCGAAGGCGGCGUCCUGGGCCAACACUGACACUGAGGAGCGAAAGCCAGGGGAGCAAACGGG
rnacentral:rRNA from 1 species